UACGUAGGGGGCUAGCGUUGUCCGGAAUCAUUGGGCGUAAAGAGCGUGUAGGCGGCCAGGUAGGUCGGUUGUGAAAACUGGAGGCUCAACCUUCAGAGGUCGACCGAAACCAUCUGGCUAGAGUCCGGGAGAGGAGAGUGGAAUUCCUGGUGUAGCGGUGAAAUGCGCAGAUAUCAGGAAGAACACCCGUGGCGAAAGCGGCUCUCUGGAACGGUACUGACGCUGAGACGCGAAAGCGUGGGGAGCGAACAGG
rnacentral:rRNA from 1 species